GACGAACGCUGGCGGCGUGCUUAACACAUGCAAGUCGAACGAUGAACUUGGAGCUUGCUCUGGGGGAUUAGUGGCGAACGGGUGAGUAACACGUGAGUAACCUGCCCUGGACUUUGGGAUAACUUCGAGAAAUCGGAGCUAAUACCGGAUAGGACCUUGCACCGCAUGGUGUGGGGUGGAAAGUUUUUCGGUUUGGGAUGGACUCGCGGCCUAUCAGCUUGUUGGUGAGGUAAUGGCUCACCAAGGCGUCGACGGGUAGCCGGCCUGGGAGGGUGACCGGCCAAACUGGGCCGGAGACACGACCCAGACUCCUACGUGAGGCAGCAGUGGGGAAUAUUGCACAAUGGGCGCAAGCCUGAUGCAGCAACGCCGCGUGCGGGAUGACGGCCUUCGGGUUGUAAACCGCUUUUGUACGGAACGAAAAGCUUCGGGUUAAUACCCUGGAGUCAUGACGGUACCGGAAGAAUAAGGACCGGCUAACUACGUGCCAG
rnacentral:rRNA from 1 species